GACGAACGCUGGCGGCGUGCUUAACACAUGCAAGUCGAACGGUGAAGAAGAGAAACGCGAACUUCGGUUCAAAUUUCACUUCGGAUUAGUGGCAGACGGGUGAGUAACGCGUGAGCAACCUACCUCUUACAAAGGGAUAGCCUCGGGAAACCGUGAUUAAUACCAUAUGACACAUUCAUAAGGCAUCUUAAGAAUGUUAAAGCUACGGCGGUAAGAGAUGGGCUCGCGUCCCAUUAGCUAGUUGGUGAGGUAACGGCCCACCAAGGCGACGAUGGGUAACCGGCCUGAGAGGGUGAACGGUCACAUUGGAACUGAGACACGGUCCAAACUCCUACGGGAGGCAGCAGUGGGGAAUAUUGCACAAUGGAGGGAACUCUGAUGCAGCGACGCCGCGUGAGCGAUGAAGGAAUUCGUUUCGUAAAGCUCUGUUCUAUGGGAAGAAAAGGACUGUACCAUAGGAGAAAGCCCCGGCUAAAUACGUG
rnacentral:rRNA from 1 species